CGUCAGUGCUUUCGAGGUUCCUUUUUGGCCCGUGGCGCCACCUGAAGUGUGCACUUACCCGGCUGACGCGGGACCCUGCAAGGCGUACAUGCCUCGCUUCUUCUACAACACGCUGACGAAGACGUGUGAGCAGUUCGUCUACGGAGGAUGCGGAGGCAACGGCAACAACUU
rnacentral:lncRNA from 1 species